rnacentral:rRNA from 1 species
AGACACGCUGGCGGCGUGCUUAACACAUGCAAGUCGAACGAGGUCCACUGCGUAGCAAUACAAGGGAAGACCUAGUGGCGAACGGGUGCGUAACACGUGAGGAACUUGUCCCGGUCUCUGGGAUAACAGUUGGAAACGACUGCUAAUACCGGAUGACGUCGGAAUCCCGCAUGGGAUACUGACGAAAGGGUUACUGGGAUCGGGAGAGCCUCGCGGCCUAUCAGCUUGUUGGUGAGGUAACGGCUCACCAAGGCAUCGACGGGUAGCUGGUCUGAGAGGAUGAUCAGCCACACUGGGACUGAGACACGGCCCAGACUCCUACGGGAGGCAGCAGUGGGGAAUCUUGCGCAAUGGGCGAAAGCCUGACGCAGCAACGCCGCGUGCGGGAAGAAGGCCCUCGGGUUGUAAACCGCUUUCAGUAGGAACGAAAAUGACGGUACCUGCAGAAGAAGGUGCGGCCAACUACGUG